UUUUAUUUUAUUUUUCUUUAAGCCUAAUUCUAGCCUAUAUAAACACAUGAUCUCUAUCAUAUUUUCCUACAAGCUUAACAAUCAAAUGCAAAAUUUGAUCAAAAACUCCCUUAGUUGAAGAGAAAACCCAACUAAAAGUUCCUCACACAAAUCCUUCAUCCUAUUUCCCUUAAGAAGUUUCCUUUUGUGAAAGAAGUCCAAGCUUGAUUUCAAGACCAAAAUCUUCACCUCACCUUCUGAUUUCCUUAAGUAUUGAGUAGAUGCUUGGGGAAACGGGAUGAACCUACUAGAUAAAAUAAUAUUUUUCUACUACUAUUUCUAGUGAAUACCUGUACUGAUUCGAAUUUUGCUUAACUUUGGUUAUGUAAAUAUAUUACCGAUAUUAGUUUUCUAAUAAAAGUACUAUUCAAACAUG